ACUAAUCUUCGGGGCAAGGUGACCUGCUGACGAAAGGCAGGAAUUCCUGACCGGCGGUUGAGCCCGCGACCCUCCAACACGUUCCAUUAUUUUAGAAUAGCUUAUAGCGAAAGUGGUGGUGGGAGAUCUGGUAAGAUUCCAGAGCCGAUGGUACAGUCCAGAUGAGAGAAGAUUAAA
rnacentral:ncRNA from 2 species